UCUGACUCGAUCGGGAUUCCACCUUAGUGGCUUUAUUCCUCAAGUGGACUAACCGACCGGCUGAGCUCACCUCUCCGAGGCUCUCAAAUCACUCCGCCGGUCUCCACGGAUCCCGGUGGUUUCGUUAGUGGAAUGCUUAAUAGACUUUAGUGCUCGCCGCAUCAAAAUAUCAGCGAGAAAUCUGUCUUCGUGGAUGCUUUUUGGCUUGCAAUCUCCAGAGUACACCAACGUAUGGAUGCUGUGUCGGGUAUCAAUGAAUUCUCCAGAAAUCCCUUUUUGAAGCCCAGAAAGUUGAGAAAUCUAUAGAGCAUAUUCAUUAUAUAUCUCCACAAUCGAAAAUAAAAAUUCUGGCGUGAUGAUACUGUCAAGUUCUUCAAUCCUCAUGCUGCUGCUGGGAGUUGCGGUGUGAGCGCUCACAUGCUUGCUGCUGCUCCUUCCCUAGGUAUCAGCAACAAGCUUUCCAAUUGUAAGAAUAAGUUAUCAAAUUAAUUAUUAAAAGAGCUUCAUGGCUUCAAAUAUAUAACUAUAUAAAUACAAUAUAAAAACAUAAUAAAAACAUAAUAAAAAUAUAAUAUAACGAGAAAACCCUACAUCAACCCAUUAUGUAUUUCCCACACAGUACAUGUGAAACGGGCAGGAGUCGAAAGCAGAGAAAUAUGGAGCUCACACAGUGCAGUUAUGAGAAGUUGUUCAUUUCUUAUGUCCAUGCAUUAAGAUAAUUUAUUUAU
rnacentral:sRNA from 1 species